AGCUGUCAGCCGUCACACAAACGGUGAUCCAAGAUUUGUCAGAUGGAUUUCUCGGCGUGUUUUCAGAGCGGUCGGGUUCAGAUUUAGGGUUGAUGGGUCGAUCCUUGCUUCCGGGGGA
rnacentral:SRP_RNA from 1 species